GGGCCGUUAGCUCAGUUCGGUUAGAGCACCUGCUCGACACGCAGGGGGUCAGAGGUUCAAAUCCUCUACGGCCCA
rnacentral:tRNA from 1 species